rnacentral:lncRNA from 1 species
AUUACAGAUUCCACAUUGCAGCUAAUCUUCAUUAAACUACCACGUGGUGAAUUUUAAUGUAGUAUCCAAGAAGCAUACUGACACCUUCUCCAUUGUCCUACUAUGUAUCUGUGUAAGGCCAGAUUUUCUUCAUAUACAUUAACCAAAGCAACAUAUGGCAACAGACUGAAUGAAGAGGCAGGUUUCCUGGGACUCUGUUGCAUCAAAUUCUACUGCUAGGCAUCAAUUUUAAAGUAUUUCAUCAGUUGGACCUACCAAAUAUCAAGUCAGGAUUUGGCCAUCUCUGCUCUUGCCAUUCCACCUCUCACGACUCUAUCCUCAAAACCUGGGCUUGGCUGGGAACAAGAGAUUUAAAUCAGACUCUUUUAGGUUUUCCUAAUAAGACUGCUGCAAAUAAGGAUUGAGCCCUAGCUGAAGGCCUCAUCCUUCCAUGCCCUUUGCUUGUCCACCCAUCAACAAGCCAGGAUGAGGAGAAGCAAAGACAGCAGCAUUUACCCACAGAACCCUUUGUUGGCAGAAGCAAAAAUUGAUAGUGGAACACAUGAGGGCAGUUCCACAAGAUCCGUCCAUGAAGAGUCGGAUUUAUCAAGAAAAAUAUUAUUCUUUCGUGAACAAGAAAGAAAACAAGACAAUUUAAAAACAUCUAGAUUAAAGAUGAGCAUGUCAAUUUCAGGUGUAAGUGGCCUCGCAGGAAUGAAAGGCUGUGCUGUCUGUAUACCACUGCACUGUUGCCUCCCUGGAGAACUUUAUGCCUUACCCUGGAAGCACCCUAUCUUCAAAGCAGGGGUGUUUGAAAAUUCAUUCCCAUAACAGUGUGGAGCACAUCGAGAAAGACUGUACUGAAACUUCCAGAUAGAACUUAUGAGGACCCAGACCCAGCAGUGGCUGUGAGGAUGAAGAGGCAAUGGGAUCUGGGACCUCAGAUAGAUCCAAGAAAUAUGCAGCAGUGGGGAUCAACGGCCUUGUAUAGAUCCUUGAUGUUAGAAGGAAAAGUGAGAUGAAUGA